AGAAUCCUGAUGUGUUCGUGGUAUUACCUAAAGUUUUGACCAACAGCUUUACUACGGGAGAUUGAGUUUUCGAGUGGCGUAAAUGCCUUUGGCUUAGGACUUACAAAAGCUUGGAACAGAACACCCACCUGCUUAUGCGGGAUCAAAACGAAGGCAUCGAGCGACGGCACGAUUGGGAUUCUU
rnacentral:other from 1 species